UGGGGAAUUUUGCGCAAUGGGGGCAACCCUGACGCAGCAACGCCGCGUGCGGGACGACGGCCUUCGGGUUGUAAACCGCUUUCAGCAGGGAAGAAAUUCGACGGUACCUGCAGAAGAAGCUCCGGCUAACUACGUGCCAGCAGCCGCGGUAAUACGUAGGGAGCGAGCGUUAUCCGGAUUCAUUGGGCGUAAAGAGCGCGUAGGCGGCCUCUCAAGCGGGAUCUCUAAUCCGAGGGCUCAACCCCCGGCCGGAUCCCGAACUGGGAGGCUCGAGUUCGGUAGAGGCAGGCGGAAUUCCCGGUGUAGCGGUGGAAUGCGAAGAUAUCGGGAAGAACACGGAUGGCGAAGGCAGCCUGCUGGGCCGCAACUGACGCUGAGGCGCGAAAGCUAGGGGAGCGAACAGG
rnacentral:rRNA from 1 species